GUUCUUGACACCCUUCCAAUCAUAGCCCCUUAGUACUCUGAACUGCUUUUCCUCUCCUUCUGCCUAUGCCCUUUAAAAAAAAAAAAGAUAUAUGUCCUGGAACAUGCUAGUCCUUAAAUAAGUAGUAAUUAGUAUUGUCAUCACUAUAAAGUCAAGAAUGAAAACAACAUAAACAUGUGAAAAUACACACAGCCCAGGCUAAACACACAAGUGCUUAGAGAUGCCAAGUAGGAGAUGUAGGUGGGAUUUUUUUUAGGCAGAGCUUCUGAAAGGCAGUGUCCAUCUGGGUUUUGAGGCAUCUGCCUUCUUAGUGGAAAAAACUGUCUGAGCAAACACAAGGAAGUGAAAACCAUAAGGUUGUGUGUACACAAGAAUGGCUAAUAACUGAAGAGAUGGUCCCUCUAAGGGGCAGAUAAGUAGAGCUGAUUAGAUGGCAGGAGGCAGUGAGAGGGCAGAGAGGAGCCAAGUUGAAGGAACACCUGACAACCAAUUCACCUUUGGCUGCAAUUGCACGUGUCCAUGCCUCAGUAAGAGGAAAUGUCUUCUAGGAGCCUGAAAAUCCUGGGCUGAGGAUGAUACAUGGGACCUCAUCCAAAGCAGCAAGCAUAAAGGAAGAGGCAAGGUGCAGGAUGCAGCAGGGUGUUCAAAUGCAGAGAGGAGGGCAGUAAUAGUGGUGAUAAUGGUGGUUUCAGCCUUUGACACUCAACAAUUGCAGCAAAAAAGUUCAGAAAGAUAAGACCAGGGAGAAAAAUAGACGAUCAGGGAGGAGGAAGUCAUUAGAAACAACUGUGCUCUCAGGGCAAUUUGGUUUAAAAUAUUGACCUUGUAUUUAGUAUUUUGCUAGUGAUUUCAAAAAUUAACAUUUUUAUUGUUUUUCUGGGUUGGAAGGUAUACUGAGGGCUUGACAAAUGUUGAGUUGAAGUUCUGGGCUGGCCCCACUCCCUGGUGCUAAAUUUGCACAAGUGAUACCCCUUAUCUUGGGGGUGUUGUGGAAACCAUUGCUUCCACCCCACUCAUCUCUUUUUAGCCCCUAGCUAGUCAGUAAAUGUUGACAAAUUAAGUCCUCUUUACAUGGCUUGUGCUUCUCCCUACAGUGUCACUAAGCUAAUACGUGCUGUAAAGUGUGGAAGGGAGCCAGCAAUGCUUUCCAGAGAUAAAACUCUCUCCCUAUUUUUUUCCAACCCAAGCCCACUCCCAUGUCAAGUUAACCAUGGUUUUCAGUGGAUGCAGUUGUGAAACUGAGCCAUCAACUGUGCCUAGAGAUCACUGAAGUGAAGGACCGGAGACACUAAAGCUAAGAGUUAAUGUUUAUUGAGCAUCUACAGUAUACCAAGCCCUCUUCUAGAAACAAAUGAACACAAAGUUCUUGGCACAGUGCCUGGCACAGUCAGGCUCCAUCAAGUUUCAUUUCCUUUCUCCCUGCUAUUAAAUGAGAAAGAGGGCAUGAGGAGGUGGGAGUAAAGGAGCCAGAAAGGGAAGGUAGGAGACUGGCAAGAAGAAGCUCUGGCUGCUCUGGGAUGCAACAUGCAGGUUCCCCCAACUCUCCUGGAGUAGGAGGAGAAGCUGCCCCUCACUGACCACUCAGGAAGGAGAGAAGCUUCCCAUGUCAACGCCCCCAGCUCUCGUCUGGGUCAGAGCCAGCAAUGAGGACAGAUGGAAACUUUUUGAACUACGUGCUGGCAAGAAUGUGGCUGACAACACGGUGACCUGGAUCUGCCUCCAGGGGUGCUGGCAGAGCAGGGCUCUCACGCAGGGUUAGGAGAUGCACAGAAUUCAAGGCCUCCGAGUGACAGUUAGCAGAACCUGAAUGGGCUGCUCAUCGAGGAAAAAGCCCUGAUGGAGUCCAGGAACUCAAGGCCCAGUUCUGGUUCCUUCACCAUUCAGCUGUGCCAUCAUGGGCACAUCACUUAGCCUCACUGGAGUUCAGUUUCCUCAGUAGUAAAAUGUAGUAAGGUAAAUAUGAAGAAACUGAGGAUCUAAGAAAUGAAGCCACUUACUCAAAGCCACUCAGUUGAUAGCAAAGUGGAGAUGCAAAGCCAUGUUUGUUCAGCUCCAAAGACAAGUUCCAACAACCACAUUCUAACAUCUUCCUGAUCCCUGCCAAAGCACAGAACAGUCUCUUGUCCCUACUCAGACUCCAAGGACUUACCUGGUUUGAUGGGCUGACCAGUGCCAGGGACCUCCUGUCAGGCUCCAGUUGGUCACGUUCUACCUGGAGCCAGGAGCCAGUUUCCCAUCACAUCACUCAUGCCCCGCCCAUGACCCCACAUGGGUCAGGGAUCUCCUGGAGAGGGGGCAGGCCUCUGCCUUCUGUGGCCUCAAUCUUCCUGGGACCCUUAGUCUUGGUUGGUCAUGGGGCAGGGGUGUCAGAGUUUUCCCAAUCUAGUUUCUAGAUUUCACAGAUUCCAGAGGACUGUUUCCUGGGAUCAAGGACACUUUGUUUUUUGUGUCCUGACUGUGGCUGUCAUGGUUAGAAUGCAUUCAUUAUGAAUCGAGCUGACAUUCUUUCAGGAAACAACUGGUCAUUAGAACAGAAUCUUCUCUCAUUACCAGCAUUUGGAAAGUUGAGUUUCAUUUUGUCGGUCAUUCAAUGUGCAUCUUUCCAAUAAUGUGGUAUGUCCAGCAUUCCAGCAUGAACCACAUAUUUCCCCAAGCUGACCAUACAGCUUUCUUCUGGAGCUUUCACAGGAAACACCCUGAGAUGUAGCCUGCAGAGCUGAAGGCGACAGAUGAACCUCAGCCCCUCUGCAUUCAUUGCGCAACUAUGAGGGGACAAGCACUUUGCCCUCAGUUGUCGUCAGCCCACACUAUUCCUGUCUGGCACAGCCUCCCUUCCCAUUGGCCAAACUCUCACCAUUCCUUUUCAAGCUCCGCCUAAGUGUCUCACCCCUACACCCUUUCCCUUAAUCAGGCUGAAGUUGGAAUGUGUUCAUCCAAUUUUAUUACAACUAAAUAUAUUCAGCUUAGCCUAAGCUUUAGCAGAUUUUAAUAGUUAUUAAUGGAAUAUUCAUCUAUUUCCCUAUACGCACUGUAAUCAACAUUCCCAUUCUCAAAUGCACUGCUUAAAGUAUCUGAAGAUCAGACACUUUAAGUAAUUUAAAUUUAUGACAAAGUUUUCUGAAGAUAUAAGCAGAUCCUGUUAGAUACAGAUGCACAUACAAUUCUCAUGAACAAUUUCAUGCACUGUAGCAUGAUCAAAAUAUCUGACCAGAGCCUGUCACUGCACCUUGUAGACAUUCUUACAAACAGCUCUUAUCUAAUCCUCAUAACCCAUCACCUGUCACCCAUAAGGGACAAUUAAACCAUGGAUCCACAUGAUUACUGAAGGCUUGUUUCUUCAUUGGCUGCAGGAAUCUCAUGAAAAUCAUAUCUUCAUAUAUAGCAAAACUUUGGGCUUAUGCAUCCUUCUAGGAAGAAUAAGCAGUUAAUGGGCAUGAAAGGCCUUUGAACCCUAUGUAGCCCUGCACGUGUGCAAGCUGCUCUUUUAAGUGAGCAGCAAAAGACAGUGGCAGACGUCAGGCUGGGCUCCAGAUCCGUCUCUACCUUAAUAGUCAGGUGAUCUCUAUCAGGUCAUUUGUACUCUCUGAACCUCAGGUUUCUUGUCUGCCAAUGGAAAUUAUAAUAAUGCCUGCCCUGCUGUGAAGUUCAGAUGAGCUCAUGGAUGUGAACACCUUCUGAGGGUCACAGAGCGACACUUGAAUGCCAGCCAUCAUUUGUUCAUGUAUAUUAACUCUUACUUUCUACAACACUAGGAGAUAGAUAUCAUCCCCUCCUUUCACAGAUGUGGAGACUCCAAUGAGUAGACCUUUGAGGAUCUGACCUUCCAACUCAAAUCUCCCCAUCCAAUGCUCUUCCCCUCUGUGCUCAGGCCCCAUCCUCGGCUCCCAUCCCUGCUCACAGCUGCAUCAUGUGCAUACUGUGAGCAUCACAUUGUAUAGUCUUACCUUAAGUCUGGGGUCCAAUCAGUUGUCAAGAGCCACACACUGGGAAGAGGGAGAUCAAGGAAAACCAGCCAAGCUCCUCCCAAUAUGAGGAUGUUUGCCAAGUUCCAGGGAGCACCUGCUACCCCCAGCCCUGGGUGAAGUAAGCACUGGAGAGAACAGACAGGAUACAAUGGCAUUGCCCUGAGAAGGCUUUUCAUCUGGCUGAGGCAAGGACUUAGAGACACAGCACAUCUCAAUUCAGACCAGCCACACUCCAGCGCUCGACAGCCACCUGUGGCUCACGGUGUGUACUGGACAGUGCAGCUGGAACCCAAUGGAUGAUUUUUUAAGGUCCCACUUGUGUCCCUCACUCAUCUAUAGGCUCCAUGAAGUCAGAUAUCAAACAUUUCCAUUGCUACAUUCUCCAGGCCUAAUCUGGAUCCUCCCAGAGUGGCUCUUCAGUGAACAUCUACUGAAUUGAACAGACAUGCACAGAGCAGAUGGACAGCACUAGGGACUUGUCCUCUGGCCCCAGAGGCCCAUGAAAGAGUAUCCAGGCAGGCUGGACUAUGCUGGGAAGGGGGAAGGCCUGGGCCCUCAUCAAAAGGGAAGGACCCCAAAAGGAAGAGAAACCCAUCAACAUCCUGUUAACUAAAUGGAGAGAAAUGCUGUUUAGGAAAAAAAAAAAAAAAACAUGAUAAAUAAAAUUCCUGAGAGAAGCUGCUAAGUCAGAGAGCACCACACUCAUCCCCUUCUGCAAGAGAAUGAGAAGAUGGAGCUACAGCUCCCGUCCCACAUCUGCAUCUGGUGUGGCCUUCCCGCCACGGGCGAUGGGCCGGACCUGGCUCCACAGACAAAGGGGCUGCUUAGGCUGGGCUUGAAAUAGGCUGAGUGAAAACCUGCGAGCCCCUGGCUGCUUCCCUGUGCAUGGAAAGGAGCUGUUGGUGAGUAUGGAGAUCUCUGUCCUUGUCAGAGGAAGGCUUCCUCAUCACAAGGCAGGGCAGGUGUCUGUGCCCAAGAGCUGAGCAGAGAACAAGCAGCCAGUGGAGGCUUUCGCCUGAACUGUGCAAUCCUUACCUGAUUGGGAAGUGCAAGUGACAAUUAAUAAAUUAAUAGCGAGUCACUUUAUGUAAAUACCUCUCUUUUUGUACACUAUAUUUAGAGAAACAAACUACUUUGGCAUUUAGAGAUA